CCUGGCUCCACCCUUGUGAAGUGAAAUCUGCCAGGUGGGGAUCAUAUGACCAUUGCUAUAUAAGAAGCAUGAGGAGAGUUUGAGGUUCAGGUUAUUUAGGGUGCUUUUUCUCUUGUGGUGAAGCCUGUGUUCCCCAGUAAGCUGCUUUCUCUUCAUGUUUUCUACCAUCUCUGUGAAAUGGGUUUAAAGCCUCUAUGAGCUAGCUACGUUGGCAGUGCCUUCUCAGUACAGUAAAACCCUCAUGGUGCGACUUCACUGUGAAGCAGUUUGGCAGUGACUCAAGUUCAGAAGCUGGCAGCAGUCCUUAUGAACUUAGCUUAGGCAUCCUGAACACCUGGCAUAGAAACAACAGAAGUGCUAGUUCAGUGGACUUGGCUGCAUCAGGAUACUUUGAUUUCUUUUUGGCAGAAAAGGAAAGCAAGAACAUGUCACAUGAUGCCAUCACACAGCACACUAAUUAUCAUGCAUCCCUAGCAUGUGAAAUAGAAAAGAGAUGGUGAUUUCCUUCAGUGGAAGCAGCAUUCUUUCUCUGGAACCAUGACCUUGUAGCCAUCAGAAACUGUAACUUGAAUAUGUUUUGCAUGUGGCAAACCUAUGUAAAUGGCUCGGAACUAGUUGCUGAAUGCCUCUUAAGAUGUG
rnacentral:lncRNA from 1 species